GUACACUCCUACGGGAGGCAGCAGUGGGGAAUUUUGGACAAUGGGCGAAAGCCUGAUCCAGCAAUGCCGCGUGAGUGAAGAAGGCCUUCGGGUUGUAAAGCUCUUUUGUCAGGGAAGAAACGGUGAAAGCUAAUAUCUUUUGCUAAUGACGGUACCUGAAGAAUAAGCACCGGCUAACUACGUGCCAGCAGCCGCGGUAAUACGUAGGGUGCAAGCGUUAAUCGGAAUUACUGGGCGUAAAGCGUGCGCAGGCGGUUUUGUAAGUCUGAUGUGAAAUCCCCGGGCUCAACCUGGGAAUUGCAUGGGAGACUGCAAGGCUAGAAUCUGGCAGAGGGGGGUAGAAUUCCACGUGUAGCAGUGAAAUGCGUAGAUAUGUGGAGGAACACCGAUGGCGAAGGCAGCCCCCUGGGUCAAGAUUGACGCUCAUGCACGAAAGCGUGGGGAGCAAACAGGAUUAGAAACCCCGGUAGUCCCAUGAU
rnacentral:rRNA from 1 species